GGGAUUCCCUCCCCUCGCGCGCUGCACUCCGGAGUCCGGUUACUGGCCGUUGCAAGGAAAAGGCAACUAUUCAAAUUUGAGCUGUAAGAGCCCGUGCAACGCGCGCGCCUUUUUUUUUAUUACCACACGUGGCGCAGAGAAAAACACGCCGUGUAGGUUUUCUGUGCUGCAAUGUAUCGCAGAUCCGCAUCUGUGAGCGCAUUGAACGCCUCGCGCAGCAGGUGGGCACGCGCAUGUAUAGACUCCGCGAAGACGGCUCCCAUGAGCCUCUGCGCCCUGUCACCAAAGCAGCGCUCACGCCGAACGGACGCGUGUCUCCCACAGUGGGCAUUUGUGUUAAUUCCACGGCGCUGCAGCGUGGAGAGCGCCCGCUGUUGCCACUCGGCGGGAGGGAGACAAACGCGCGCCAACGGUGACUCGGACACGGCUCCCGAAGAAGGGCCCGGCGCCCAGAAUGUGACACGUUACACGAGAUGGAGUAACGUAUUAAUCGUAAUCCAAUACGCCGCGACCGCCUAAUUAAUCUGCAUCACCGCAGACGCGGCUCUCGCUGUUUUUGGUUUCUUUUUGCGGCGGGCGUCUUUGGCAGAAAGACUCGCUCGCAUAGAAAGUUUCAGGGGGAAAGUUUGGUCGAGGGAAAAUAAUCUAAAGGGGGAUUUUCUGAGGUGACCACCGCGGAGCGACUGGCUUUGUAUGCGAUUGCUCAUAACGCGAACACUUCAAUUACACUGCUACAGUUCUUCCAAUAUGUCACCCUUUCCGAAGUAAGGGGGUGUUUGUGUUAAUUUGUUGCAGGCGUUACCUUUUGACCUGUGCCAUGGUACACAACACGACCGCACGCGGACUUUCAGUAAACCUUUAUUUUCAACGAUAUUAAUGAAUAAUUAGCGUUCAUCCAUCCACAGGCGACCCAGGUUUUUGAGCGGGCGACGGUGUUGCUAAGCGACACAGUUUCCUGGUAAAUUGCUCGGGGCGACUCUAAUCCGCCAUAGUCCUAUAAUUAAUGCCGUAAUAUCAUUUGAGACGCACCCGUCGGCGUCGAUUUGGGGGAAGCAAAGGUAUGGCACUGUGACAGGUUCUGUUCCUUAUACCAGUCUAAUUUGGAUCCUUUAAGUACAUAAUGAGAUAUCAUCACGCGCAGCGCUAUGUGACGCCCAUCAGUCAGACGUCGUUGCUCCAAUCGGUCAUUAGUGUCACGGGGGGGUUGAGUGUAGAUGAGAGGCUUAUUAAAUAAAACUUCUAAAAAACGGGCAUUGCGGUGCCAUAAGGUCACGUGAACAGGUGCGCUCGUCGAUGCUUGUGCGCACCUGCUUCGGCUGAUUCGCAGGUGGUGCACUAUGGACUCGUCGGUGUGCCUCCGUCACACCUCAUAGACGUCGGUGCCGUAGAACCCGCCAUGGAGUCCACGCAGGUAUUACGUUCAACGGGCGAUGCGCACGUGGGGUUUUACCAAGCUGGCCGCUACAGGUGACGCAAGCAGGGCUGACGUGGCCCUAAUGCCGCCAUCAGUCCGUCUGCCAAAACCGGAUGGCAGAUUGUAAAUUAAGGGCAGUCAAAUGCUUUUGUCCGGGGGCGGUGAAACAAAUGGCAAUAUUGAAAUGAGGUUCUUGGCGACAUUAAAGCUAAAUGGGAGAGCCUAUAAAGAGGCUGUACGCGGAAGGGAACAUGCAUUGCAUUUCAGGCGAAACAUGAAACAACAACCUCUUCCUCGUCAAACUCCACUCCGAGUUUCUGCUGCCUCAAAUUCUUGUAAUAUUUUAUAUAUAUCUUUUAAUGGCCAUAAAUACAUUUAGUGCAUAAGUUGGUGUUGAACUUUAAAUGUAUUUAAAGAGAAAACUAGUUCAUAUGUGGAUGUUUUUGUGCCAUAUUGACAUGGAAAGUGGAGUUUACAGCUCCAACAUCUGUUCUGGAUGCUCUUCCUGCGUCUAGCAUUUUAAAUGGGGGAGACAUAAUUCCAUGCAAGGAAGAACUAUGAGCUAUUUAAGUGUGGAUUUCUCCGGUUAGCUGUAUGCUGCUCGUAUGACAGUAUGGCUGGGGGGGGGGGGGGAUCAUGGCAGAAGCCUUCACCAAAUGCACACGUACCGCUGCCACAGCUGCUUGAGCAGGAGAUCCUGGCUUUUUGGGUGCACAUAAUGACGUUUGCAUCGCUUCAGUUGCAGCCUGAUCUCCAAAACCUGUCCGUAAAAAUGUGUACGAAAAUCUUCAACAUACAAAUUUGUAGUGAUACAUACGAAAUAAAUACGGAGUGCAACUGAUGACGUCACCCUAAUCAAAGUGAAUGGGGACCUGCACCCCGUAAACACACUUUGUGAAGUCUAAUGAUGUAAAAUAAACGUGUUAUGAUUGCAUUUUUAACGAGAAAUCAAUGUUAAAUUGUAAGAAUACACUACUAACCCUAACCCCCUCAAAAAACCCAACGUGACGUUCACUCAAGAAUCCAACAUGGUCCGCCAUGUUGUUCACUCAAGGGCGUGGUUAACCACCGCCAGUUCGUAUGUAUUGUUACGAAUUUGUAUGUUCAAGAUUUUCGUAUACAUUUUUACGAACAGGUUUUGUAGAUCACGUUGUCAGUUGACAACAUUUAGCGUUAACAUGGAUCGGACAUCCACAUGAAAGGUGCUGAAUUUAACCCGUGAAGUACAAGUCGGAGGCACUGUACAGCCACUACUUCACUACUUUUCAAAGGUUUUCCAAUCAACUGCAUAUAAAGUAUUCACAACCACCACAUGAGCAUGCCCAGUAUCCCGUGAAGGUACAAAGGCUAAGUUCUUGUAGAAUACACAAAAAACAUUGAGUUACUCAUUCAACGGCUUGUCAAAAACGUUUUUUUGCUCCUGUCUCUCUCUGUGUGCCUCCCUUUAGCGUCAUUCACCUGUCAUGUUGUAAUACCUCAACCUGGAUAAAAGCUCUGCAUGAUCGUCAUGGCUAAUCUCACAGCUCAGGUGCUGCUAACAGGACACACGCAGGCACCAAAGUGCUGACUGUGGGAGCACGGAGGGAGUUAAUGAACAAUCAGCGUGACGGACAGUGGGAUUUAUUACCCUGCUAUAGUGCUUCAGGAACACACUUAAUAUGCAGUUUAGCCGCAAUGCUUUCCUGCUACAUGAUGCUGCAAGUUGGGUCAACUUGCAGCAUCCCCCCACACAAACUGUCGACAAUGGAUUAACAACCAUUGAAACCAUCCCGCUGUGCUCUGACAAUGUGGUGGCAACCACGAGCUCCUUGGUCAUAGUGUCUAACUAAUGUCUAUCUAAUCAGCAGUUUCAACAGGAUUCCCACUGUGCUAGAACAUGUCUUUAAAAAACAAAACAGAGGCUGGAUGUCAGACAGCUCCCGUGAAUUAAAGCAACCAGCCCUCGAUGAUUUCAUUUACCGGUUGCCUUGGUGACUCAUGUAAAGCAGUGGAAUACAACAGCACAGUGGGAUAAUUUGAUCGCUCUUAACCUCUGGAGUGGCGUUGCAGAGGGAAGAAUGGGAAUUCAUUUGCUACGUAUCCUCCAAUAAGGUCGGUCACUUUCAGUGCGAGAAUCCGGAUCUCGGCUAACAGCCAACUUCACAUCAUCAAAGCUUAAAUAAAAGAAAAAUAAUCCAGCGGCGCAUCUAAAAAUAAUUCCAAUGUUAUCAUUUUUCACAACUGGAGAACAGUCAUUUGGAGCAUAAAAAAGGGACGAGUUUGUUUGGCAGCGUAGAGCUCAAGUUGAGCUGAGGAAGACAACAAUCACGACUAAAGAAUCGUGAUACGUGGAGACAACUGUCAAUCAAGAAAGACCUCUUUAACCCUUAUUAUCCUCUGAAUGAAACAAGAAAAUGGCACAGGGAAAAUCAGCAGUUAAGGAAGUCCUGCGGGACCUGACCCGCUGGUCCACAGGAGCAGACAGAGGUCAACAGUUUACAGCUGCACCGAGGUUGUGAGGCGGGUGAGACCUGGUUGUGGUGGAGCUGCCAGCUGCCGGUUACACUGAAGCAGUGUGGCUGCCGCGUGGAGAGAGGGACAAACACACACACACUGACAUUUUCCUCUGCUGCUGCAUUCAACAUUAAAACACGAGGCUCACUUGUAUCAGACAGGAUAUGCAAACACCAAUACCAGAAGGCCAACAUGUGGUUUUGUAUCUGCCGUUCCAGUACUUAUCUCAAGCACAUUCGCGUAUAGAUUGGAGUCGCAAAGUUGGAACAUUUGGCCUUAUUAUUUUGCAUUUCUGUGCCUUAUUUACAGACUUAGC
ensembl:lncRNA